AACGAACGCUGGCGGCAUGCCUAACACAUGCAAGUCGAACGAGACCUUCGGGUCUAGUUGCGCACGGGUGCGUAACGCGUGGGAACCUGCCCUUAGGCUCGGAAUAACUCCCCGAAAGGGGUGCUAAUGCCGGAUAAUGUCCUCUGACCACAGAUUUAUCGCCCUUGGAUGGGCACGCGUUGUUUUAGCUAGGUGGUAGGGUAAAAGCCUACCACGGCGACGAUCCGUAGCUGGUCUGAGAGGGUGAUCAGCCACACUGGAACUGAGACACGGCCCAGACUCGUACGGGAGGCCGCAGUGGGGAAUAUUGGACAAUGGGCGCAAGCCUGAUCCAGCCAUACCGCGUGGGUGAAGAAGGCCUUCGGGUUGUAAAGACCUGUUGUUGGGAAAGAAAAGCAGCAGGUUAAUACCCCGCUGUUCUGACGGUACCCAAAGAAUAAGCACCGGCUAACUUCGUG
rnacentral:rRNA from 1 species